AACAAAAUAUAUUUAGAGCAGAGUAUGAUACUAAGCAUUCAUGAUCAGCAAAAUCAUUUUGGCAGCAUUGUUAGCUUCACAAAAAUAGAAACACACAGUCUAAUUUCCAAAAGGAGACAAGUGAUAUGUUACAUAAGGCCUAUGUUCUAGAAACAUAUCCAAAAUGAAACUUUAUAUGUUGUUUGUUGCAUUUCAAGGGAGCAAUAAAGUUUUAUUUCCGUUCUCUCCAAUGAUUGUCAGAAUUUAGUUUUCAACCCUGUGCAGCCCUUCUUAAGUAAUCCCAAUGCAGCAGAACUCUACCAAGUUAGAUCCCCCUUCCUCUCUAUGUCCAGCCACCCUUGCUAAAGGUUACAGGCUGAACAGCUAAAUUUCUUCAAUAACCUGUUGGAGAAACAGAGACCGCAGUGGGUAAAGGCCAACCAAGUUAAAACUGAAUUGACUUGUAUUCCCAGAAGAGUCCUUAAAGUAUAAAAUGCCUCAACAGGAUGGCAUGAUCUACUGUGUCAAACGCUGCAGACAGAUACAGGAGGAACAAUAAGGAAGCAUGGCCUUUGUCUACAUUUAGCCGGAGAUCAUCCACUAACGCUACCAGUGCUGUCUUGGCCCCAUACCCUGAUCUGAAUCCAGAUUGGAAAGGGUCUAGAGCACUAGCAUUUUCCAAGAUCUGGAGUUGGUAAGCUACUGACCAAUCACCAAGAUGGUCCUGCUUGUACUGAAGACCAACCUGGAAGACUGAAGCCCAAGUUUGCAUGCCACAGUUACUUACUUUGUAGUUCAUAGUGUAGCAUGCCUUAUAUGCUUAGUUAUGAAUAUGUUUAGACUAGUUAUGGUACUUCACUAGCCUUGCAUGCAAGAGUGGAAUCCACAAGAUUCCAGACAAGGAGUGUGCUGUUACAGCAGAAUAGAAAUGCCUAUGUAUUGGCAACAGAAAUCAAUAGGGAAUAGGGUUUGUGCCUUUAAGAACAGACUUAUGGGGAUUGUAGUCAGAUACUCCUUUCUGCCCAUCUUCACUUUGGGAUGCAUGGGACAUAUGAGCCUUUUAUUGACCCUUUCCCUGCCUUUGUCUCACUAAU